rnacentral:rRNA from 1 species
AGGUAAGCUACUAAGAGCGAAUGGUGGAUGCCUUGACUGGUAAAGGCGAUGAAGGACGUACUAGACUGCGAUAAGCUACGGGGAGCUGUCAAGAAGCUUUGAUCCGUAGAUUUCCGAAUGGGGCAACCCAAUGUAUAGAGAUAUACAUUACCUAUAUAGGAGCGAACGAGGGGAAUUGAAACAUCUUAGUACCCUCAGGAAAAGAAAUCAAUAGAGAUUGCGUCAGUAGCGGCGAGCGAAAGCGCAAGAGGGCAAACCCAGUGCUUGCACUGGGGGUUGUAGGACUGCAAUGUGCAAGAGCUGAGUUUAGCAGAACAUUCUGGAAAGUAUAGCCAUAGAGGGUGAUAGUCCCGUAUGCGAAAAACAAAGCUUAGCUAGCAGUAUCCUGAGUAGGGCGGGACACGAGGAAUCCUGUCUGAAUCCGGGUCGACCACGAUCCAACCCUAAAUACUAAUACCAGAUCGAUAGUGCACAAGUACCGUGAGGGAAAGGUGAAAAGAACUGAGGUGAUCAGAGUGAAAUAGAACCUGAAACCAUUUGCUUACAAUCAUUCAGAGCACUAUGUAGCAAUACAGUGUGAUGGACUGCCUUUUGCAUAAUGAGCCUGCGAGUUGUGGUGUCUGGCAAGGUUAAGCAAACGCGAAGCCGUAGCGAAAGCGAGUCUGAAUAGGGCGCUUAGUCAGAUGCUGCAGACCCGAAACGAAGUGAUCUAUCCAUGAGCAAGUUGAAGCUAGUGUAAGAACUAGUGGAGGACUGAACCCAUAGGCGUUGAAAAGCCCCGGGAUGACUUGUGGAUAGGGGUGAAAGGCCAAUCAAACUUCGUGAUAGCUGGUUCUCUCCGAAAUAUAUUUAGGUAUAGCGUUGUGUCGUAAUAUAAGGGGGUAGAGCACUGAAUGGGCUAGGGCAUACACCAAUGUACCAAACCCUAUCAAACUCCGAAUACCUUAUAUGUAAUCACAGCAGUCAGGCGGCGAGUGAUAAAAUCCGUCGUCAAGAGGGAAACAACCCAGACUACCAGCUAAGGUCCCUAAGUCUUACUUAAGUGGAAAACGAUGUGAAGUUACUUAAACAACCAGGAGGUUGGCUUAGAAGCAGCCAUCCUUUAAAGAAAGCGUAAUAGCUCACUGGUCUAGUGAUUUUGCGCGGAAAAUAUAACGGGGCUAAAGUAAGUACCGAAGCUGUAGACUUAGUUUACUAAGUGGUAGGAGAGCGUUCUAUUUGCGUCGAAGGUAUACCGGUAAGGAGUGCUGGAGCGAAUAGAAGUGAGCAUGCAGGCAUGAGUAGCGAUAAUUAAUGUGAGAAUCAUUAACGCCGUAAACCCAAGGUUUCCUACGCGAUGCUCGUCAUCGUAGGGUUAGUCGGGUCCUAAGUCGAGUCCGAAAGGGGUAGACGAUGGCAAAUUGGUUAAUAUUCCAAUACCAACAUUAGUGUGCGAUGGAAGGACGCUUAGGGCUAAGGGGGCUAGCGGAUGGAAGUGCUAGUCUAAGGUCGUAGGAGGUUAUACAGGCAAAUCCGUAUAACAAUACUCCGAGAACUGAAAGGCUUUUUGAAGUCUUCGGAUGGAUAGAAGAACCCCUGAUGCCGUCGAGCCAAGAAAAGUUUCUAAGUUUAGCUAAUGUUGCCCGUACCGUAAACCGACACAGGUGGGUGGGAUGAGUAUUCUAAGGCGCGUGGAAGAACUCUCUUUAAGGAACUCUGCAAAAUAGCACCGUAUCUUCGGUAUAAGGUGUGGUUAGCUUUGUAUUAGGAUUUACUCCGAAAGCAAGGAAACUUACAACAAAGAGUCCCUCCCGACUGUUUACCAAAAACACAGCACUCUGCUAACUCGUAAGAGGAUGUAUAGGGUGUGACGCCUGCCCGGUGCUCGAAGGUUAAUUGAUGGGGUUAGCAUUAGCGAAGCUCUUG